AAAUUUGGGUUGAAAGUUUUUGGUGUGAGAAGCUCUGUAGUUAUUGCUUUUGGAAUCCAAGGAUGGAUAGUUCUGAGAAAAAGUUUUAAUUUGAUAAUUUUGGUUGAUUGGUACCAACAAUAAAUGUAAGCUAUAAAGUACCUGCAUGUACGCUUCUGGUGUCCACCCCAACCACAAUGCUACUAGGAAAUUUAUAUGAUUUGCGAAGUAAAACACUUUUUCUUUGAUAUGAUAUUUGUAUGUAACUUAAAUUAUUUGACCGACAUGUUCUUGAGGUAAGAACAUGUUUAUGAUGCCUUAUACAUGAUGAUCCUUCUACAUGUUUAUGAUGCCUUAACAAGUUACUAAUGAUCAGGUGAUUAAGUAAGGAAGAAAGUCGUUAUGACGGGGGGGCUUUUAUGAUUAUCGAUGCUCAAAGUUGAAGUUUAUGAACAUAAUUAUGUAGAACAAAUCACAUUGAGGUAAGAAAUCUCAUGAUUGUGCAGUUUCCAUCACAGACUAAAAUGAGAAAACAGAGAGCUAGAGACUAAUUUCACAACUAAUCUGAAAUAACAAAAACAAAAUUUGGAAGCCCUAAUAUCCUUUGCUAAAUCUGAGAUGUUACAUGGUUCUUAAUUGUAGGGGAAGGAACUAAAUGAUGUUAACUCAUUGGCUGAAGUCAUAACACUAACUCUAAAGUGUGCUUUGAGUUGUUUUUAGAAACUUGAUUUUAAUAUUUCACUAUAAAAAUAUUUUUUUGACUAGCUGUUCUUCCAGGUGUUUCUGACAGGAUGGAUAGACUCAAUGCUGAAGUCACAACACAACUCUGAACUGUGAAUAUGCUUUAUUGUUUCUUUAUGUGAUAAAUGACUAGUCUAAGCUUCAGUUUUUUGUUCUUGUCUUUUAAUGUAUUAUUAAACUAUUAUGGCUUGUAAUCAAUGUUUUAAAUUAAUUUAUCCUGUCUGAUUUUCCAGCCGUUAUCCUUGCUGAAAUCCUAGAAGAUGAUGUUUUGGUCUUCCCCCACAUGUACUCGAUACUUACUGAGAUAGGUCAUGUUUACAUGGUUCCACUUAAGCAUUCAUCUUUUCAAAAAUGACAUGCUCUGUUUUAUUGGAACUUAUAGGUAUAAGAGGAGUUUGAAAGAGUUGCAUAAAAUGCUUCAUUGGUGCAAUGAGCAUUUCAACAGUUCAGCCAUGUAAACAAGGAGGCACUAGAUCAACAUGUAAAUCUCACUAGGAAACAGGAGGAACUUCAGACACGGCAAGCUGAACUUGAGGCAAGUGACAAGGUACUACGGUACUGGAUUUUAAUGGUUAAAUGUCUUCUGUUGUACUUAUUGUUUUUAAUGUGAGAUUAUGAUUUAUGUAUCUUUACUUCAACGAUAAACAUAAGCCAUAAAAAAAUAGACUGAGCUUGAGCCUGAUGUGAAAGACGUGCUAGAGAGAAUUUCAGAACAUAUCCAAGCCAAGGUAUCAAACUGUAGCAAAGAGAAAAAUGCUAAUUAUUUUUUGGGGAUAAAAAAUGUUGAAUGCUUUUAUUUAACAUGUGCUUUGCUUUCAGGAUGAUGCUAUGCUAAAAUGUAAGGUAUCUCCUCAACUAAAAUUUUCUACAUAUUACUACCUAAGCUAUAAUUUCAGCUGAAAGGGCCUCACUUUAGGUUUUUGUCCUCUACUGUCAAUAAACUAAUUUAUACAGCUAACAUGGUCGGUAAUAAUAAAACACAGUCUAGUAGAUGGAGAAUUUGCAAAUAAGUAAUUAAAACAUCAUUAUUUAAGAAUUAUUUGUGUAUUUUGUUACUUAAAUUAAUAUGUUAGGGGAUUUUAUACCUUCUUUGAUUUGACCUAGUGGAGGAUUUGGGGGACCUGAAUGGACACACAUAGUCGAGUGAAAUUUGAUUUUUUGCAAUUUAUACAGGUUUCCUUACUCUUGUGGAUAUGAACUCUUCUACUUUCGUCGUAGAUUCAAGGAAGCUUUUGUGGAUUUCUAGGUUUUCUUUCCUUCACUUGUUGUUGGGUGAUUUUUCGUUUUAGUCCAAGGAACCGGAACCAUCUUGUUAUGAGAAAUAAUUGAUUUUUAUUUUCCACAUUAACUGGACACUUCGAUGAUAAGUUUUUUACCUUUUCCAGAUGUUGUACUAGCUACAAAUGUUCGGGAUUUAUUCAAGGUCUAUAGCAGUAACUAGUAGAUGCCCACCAUUAUACUAAAAACAAGACCCCUUUGAAAAUUUCUAGUUUUAUGAUGAGCUGUCUUCAAGGUUUAUGUGUAAAUGUAUGGAUUAAUUGAAAUUAGAUAAGUAUGUUUUGCUACUUGGUAUGAGUAUGCAAUUGAACUUCUUAACUCUAUUGUUGCAAGUCCUCGUGCCUCUCUUGCCAUUUCCUUUAUAUUCUGAUUUUUUGAUUUUAAAUAAGUCAUCUACUUCAGGAAGAAAAUUAUAGGCUGAAUGCAGACUUCAAAGAGCGAAAUGCCUACGUUGAGAGCUGCAGAGCUGAAAUCGUUAUUUUCUAGUCUCAUGAAGGAUUCAAUAGUCAUAAAGCAUAGAGAAACAAGCUACAAGAAGCAUGUAUCCUUUUCUCUUUCUAUUUUGGUCAGGCUUAUUGAAAGGGCAUAGUUUGACUAGACUUUUCUGCUUUUGUAGAUCAUGGUGAAAAAGAAAAGUGAACUUAUUGUUGAAUUUGAUAAGCUAAGACCACAAGUGUUCUUAUUCCUCUGUCGUUGGGUCCUAUUUAUAGGAAAAAUCUCUUGUAGAUGUCACUAAUCAAAUAGUGAGCUUAAAGCCACUGUGACCACGAAACAAGGUGAGGUGGGCACAGAGCUCAUUGAUCACUUAACACCACAGGAAAAACAUGAACUAUCCCAGCUGAACUAAGAAAUAAAAGAUCUUAAAGAGGAGCUUAUUAAAUUUAGAACAGAUCGCAUCGAGGUAAGAUAUCUCAACCUUGUGAGAAGCAACUGUACUUAUCCUUAACAGGUAUUUGUUCUGUUUCACAUGAAGCUUUUGUGGCCUUCCAAGCUACUUCCAUAUUUAUGAUCUGCUUUCUGAUAGGCCUCUUGCUUGCUGUCAUGCAUGCCUAUAUGCUAAUGGGUGUAUGGUAAUACAUUGCCCCAAAAGUUUCUGUAUAUUUGUUGCUAAUUGAGGUGGGUGACUUUUUGGAAGAAAAUAGUUUAUUAUCGUUUAUUAUUGCCACCUGUUGCACUAGAGGUGAUAGAUUGAUGUUGCACUGAUGUGUCUUGGCCUCAAACCCUAGAAAAAUAAUAUUACUUGUCACUGAAAAAUGAGUAAAUAAAAAGAAACGAAUUAUUCCUCAUGCUUUUACAAUGUCUAUCUGCUAUUUGUGAUUUAUUAAGAUACAUUUUGAGUAUUAACAUUAGUUUUUGUUACUAUGAAGGCAAAGGUGAUGGUACAAAUGCAGAAUCUGGAGCACAUGAAGAAGAUUUUCUCAUCCAGGAUGAGAUUUCUAAAUCUUGUCUAGUGAACGUGUAGCGUGUAAGUCAUUCUUUAUGGAGAUGCUGCAUUUUGCAAGUAUUGCAAAAGUUGCAAGUGCUCCAUUAUACAUGCAUCCCUUGUUAUUGAAUUGUUGAUUAUCUGUAGGAGGAAGAGACAAUUUUGCAUGAGAGAGACGGCUAUAAACUGGAAGAGGGACGUCUUAUACGUGAAUUGAAAAGGAUACGAGAUGAGGAUGAUUCAAGUUUUAAUAAUUUUCAGAUUUUAAAUCAUCAAUAUGCCCUUUUAAACCUUCUUGGGCAAGGAGGAUUUAGUGAGGUUUACAAGGUCCGAACUUCGGCAAGUAGUUUCAAUUGAUAAUAGAAAGUAGUUUCAUUUGAUAAUAGAAACACUAACCUUUGCUUGUUUGAUGAAAAUUCUUAUAUACCAUGACAAGAGUAUAGAUCAUUCUGUUGCCAAUAUUGACAAUUGUAAAAGCACAUCCUUUUGCAGUGAUUUGAAGUGAGAAAUUUCCGGCAGGCUUAUGAUUUGGUCGAGCAUAGGUAUGUUCCAUGAAGGUGCAGGGCAUCAUGUUUUAUCUGCUUUUGUUGAGAUUGUGUUGAUAAUUCCGACAAUCACAUCCCGGUCCCUUCCAUUCUUGUCAGGAGUAGAAUUUAGGUUCCUUCUCCCUUUUUGUAUAAGUUAGGAACUUGGGGAUUUUUCAUGUAAUUUUAUUAUGCAGUAAACAUGUAACCUGAAUAGAAUAAUAUACUCCUUAUAUUAUUUUGUUUUUGGAAUAUUAAUGUAUUAAUCUAUGCUUGGGAAA